GUAAUAGUGGUUCAGUGGUAGAAUUUUCACCUUCCAUGUAGGAGAGCUGGGUUCAAUUCUCAGCCAAUACA
rnacentral:tRNA from 1 species